UCCGGGGGGAGCAAGCGUUGUUCGGAUUUACUGGGCGUAAAGGGCGCGUAGGCGGCGCAACAAGUCACUUGUGAAAUCUCCGGGCUUAACCCGGAGCGGCCAAGUGAUACUGUCGUGCUAGAGUGCGGAAGGGGCUACUGGAAUUCUCGGUGUAGCGGUGAAAUGCGUAGAUAUCGAGAGGAACACCUGCGGCGAAGGCGGGUAGCUGGGCCGACACUGACGCUGAGGCGCGAAAGCCAGGGGAGCGAACGGG
rnacentral:rRNA from 1 species